AGCCGCUGGAGCGCAGCCUGAUGGAGAGUGACGGUUGGGGAGUCCCAACUGCCGGAGAAGGGCUCCAGGGACACACGCGCCUGCCCCCACCCCCCCUCCCCGGGCGCAGCUGGUGAGGGGAGGUGUUUCACAACAGCAGAUCGUGCAUGGAUGUACCCGAUGCCGCAAGAAACAAGCGUUUCGGGACCAAUUAUUUACACGAAACAGCUCCGACGCCAGCACCGCUGCCCCCCAUCCCCCGAUAACACGGGAGGUAGCCAACGGGCCGGGCGGCGCACGGCCCCGCCCACUGCUGGCCCGGCCCCGGCUCCUCCUCCUGCCGGGGCGGGAGGUGCGGAGCCGCUGGAUGACGGCAGCGGAUCCGCCGCUGUGGGGGACGAUGGCGCCGCUGAGGGACUGUAAGGCCUGGCAGGAUGCUGGACUUGUCCUGUCCACUACUAGCAAUGAAGCCUGUAAACUAUUUGAUGCUACGCUGACCCAGUACGCAACCUGGACCAAUAAUGAGAGCCUUGGAGGUAUUGAGGGGUGUCUCUCGAAGUUAAAAGCAGCAGAUCCAAAUUUUACAAUGGGACAUGUCCUUGCUAAUGGUUUGGAGUUGAUUGGCACUGGAAGUUCAGUGCGGCUCAACAAAGAGCUGGACAGUGCAAUGAGAACGAUGAUGACGCUUUCAAAAUCGCAGCCACUGACUGAGCGGGAGAGGCUUCAUGUAUCAGCACUGGACAUGUUUGCCAGUGGCCAGCUUCCAAAAGCUUGUGAUCUAUGGGAACAGAUUCUGCAGAGCCACCCAACUGACCUCCUAGCCCUCAAAUUUUCCCAGGACACUUAUUUCUACCUGGGAUAUCAGAUACAGAUGCGAGAUUCGGUUGCCCGGGUUUAUCCUUUCUGGACACCUGAUAUUCCACUAAGCAGCUACGUGAAGGGCUACUACUCUUUUGGACUCAUGGAAACAAACCUUUUCGAUCGUGCUGAGGAGCUUGCCCGUGAGGCUUUGGCUAUAAACCAGACAGAUGCAUGGUCUGUACAUACUAUAGCUCACAUAAACGAAAUGAAAGCAGAGGUGAACAAAGGGUUAGAAUUUAUGAAGGAAACGGAAACCAACUGGAAGAACAGUGAUAUGCUUGCUUGCCAUAAUUACUGGCACUGGGCUUUAUACUUUAUUGAAAAGGGUGAAUAUGAAGCUGCUUUGACAAUUUAUGACAAUCAUAUUGUUCCCCAGUGUCUGUUGAGAGGAGGCAUGCUGGAUAUAGUAGAUAACUGUUCGAUGCUGUACAGGCUUCAUCUGGAAGGUGUGAAGCUUGGAGACAGGUGGAACAAUGUUCUCAAGCUUACGAAGCAGCACACCAAAGAUCACAUUCUUCUGUUCAAUGAUGUACACAUCUUGAUGUCCUCACUUGGAGCCAAAGACCACAAAACUACUGAUGAGCUUUUAACAACUCUUCAGGAGCUUGCCAAAGCACCUUGUGAAGACCAUGAGCUUUCCCUGGCUCCCAGUUUGGGGUUGCCACUGUGCCAGGCUUUUGUAGAGUUUGAAAAUGGAAAUUGUGAUAAAGCUGUAGACCUGCUGUACCCAAUCCGUUAUCAACUAAUCCAAAUAGGAGGCAGUAAUGCUCAGAGAGAUGUUUUCAGCCAGUUAUUGAUUCAUGCUGCUUUAAAUUCGAAAUCACAAGCCAAACAAAACCUUGCACGGUGCCUCCUGAGAGAACGUGAUGUGAUGAGACCAAAUUCACCAAUGACGGAGCGACUUAUUAGGAAGGCAGCAGCUGUUCAUUCAAUGGCAUAAGUCUUUCCUUUGUGCCUCAGCCGAAACAGCAAUAAGCUUACCAGUGAAAGUCUGGGUGCAGGGAGUGGAGGGGUGCUGUGCUGUAAACCAUGCUAGAGAUUCACAGUAGGGCAGGUCUUGUCUACACUCCAACCCCGCACCCAUUAAACAGCCAAUAUCCUGUGCACGAGAGUCGUACCCCCACCCUGGCAGCAUUUCCUGCCAGACCUAUGGAAGCGCAGUUUUGACGAUGUGAAGCACAGCACUGGAGUUCCCGUUUCUUCUCUUGUCCUUCUUCUAGAUUUUGUGGUUUGGACCGAUUUUAAAUUGUCAGCAUCUCACUGGCAUUUUCCAUGUACCUGCUUGCGAAGUGCAGCACUGUGUCUUACAGGUGCUUAGUUCAGAUUCUUUAAAAGUUACUCAUUGUGAUGUGCAUCCUUAGAACAAGGCAAUACCUGACUACUCCUACAUACUGCAAACAGUAGUUCUGCUACUACUUCACCUUAUUCUUUCCCCCUUUCUUAGGACUCUGACAACUGCUCAGAGUAGCUGUUUAAUUACAAAGAAUCCAACCAAACUACCACAGCACAUAAUAUUAUGGGUAUCUUAGGAAGUUCUUUAUAGAAAUAUUCUUCAUGAAUCAGACUGAAUUCUGUCCUUCAUACUUAGCUCGGCAUCUACACUAAAAUGCAAAACUACAUCCACACAGUUCCCUGGUUUAGAAACACAGAUGAAAGGAAGACGCUGAGCACAUGUUUUAAAUGGCUACUUCACUAGGUCUGUUUCGUUAUGCCAUAAAUUCAUGUACGGAGACAAAGUGCACACUAACAAGCAAAAGGCAGUCAAGGCCUUUUCUGCCCCUCACGGCGCCCUGCCAAUGAUCAGGCCGGGAAGGGACACAACCGGGACAGCUGACCCCAACUGACCAAAGGGAUAUUCCAUACCAUGUGACGUCAUGCUCAGCAUAUAAAGCUGAGGAAGAAGGAAGAGAUGGGGGGUACAUUUGGAGUGAUGGUGUUUUGUCUUCCCAAGUAACUACUACGUGUGAUGGAGCCCUGGAGAUGGCUGAACACCUGCCUGCUGCCGGGAAGCGGUGAAUGAAUUCCUUGUUUUGCUUUGCUUGCAUGUGCGGCUUUUCCUCUAGCUAUUAAACUGUCUUUAUCUCAGCCCACAAGUUUUCUCAUUUUUACUUUUCUGACUCUCUUCUCCAUCUCACUGGGGGGGAGAGUGAGCGAGCAGCUGCAUGGUCCUAAGUUGCCAGCUGGGCUUAACCAUGACACACAGCCUUUAUGUACUUACUGCCGUUUGUUGCAGCCAAGCCACCAAAUUUUAGUACCUGCUUAUUCAUAGGUUGUUACUUUCAGAGUUUCACUUGUGCUCGAUUUUUGUAUAGGUUACAGGUUUGCAGAUCCGCAAAAAGAAUUUGAUCCGACAAUUUUCUGAUCCAAACAGUAACCGCCAUCGUACAGAUAAAACUUCUCGACUUGAGAACUUAUGACACAGAUUUAAAAUAAGAUUUUAAUUUUUUUUGGUUUACCAUUUGAAACUUGAAACUAGUAUCAGCAUUAAGAAGCAGAAUUUUUAAAACUAAGUCAAGUCAUUCUUACGUAUACUGACCCGUUUAGAACUGUGGUAGACUAUUAGAUCAAGAAUGGCCAUAUCCUGGACUGAAAAGAAUCUCUGACUACUAAUAACCUGAAAGUUUGCUUAAGAACUACUGAAGUCUCAAUUUUCCCCUUAAGUGAACUGUUUGCAAAGAGAAACCCUCUCUGCUCUAUUCCUAAGAAAGUGUGUUUACGUUUAUUUGCCCACAGAAGUCAUAACAUUCUAUUUCCCAUCCCAUGAUUCUGAUUCUUCUGCUAUGGUUAUCCAAAUGUCUAUGCUUCAUUUAAGAGAGGACGACAAGAAGACAAGGCAAUUAGUCUCAACAAAUGUCACAUCUGUUCUGCCAGCCCUCCUCAAUACAGAAAUUCUUUGGAUUAACAUGCCAAGGGAUUGUAUUAAAAAGAAAGAAUUCACAAAGUAUGAGAACACCUGCAA